UACGUAGGGGGGCAAGCGUUGUCCGGAAUCAUUGGGCGUAAAGAGCGUGUAGGCGGCCCGAUAAGUCCGCCGUGAAAGUCCAGGGCUCAACCCUGGAAGGCCGGUGGAAACUGUCGGGCUCGAGUCCGGAAGAGGCGAGUGGAAUUCCUGGUGUAGCGGUGAAAUGCGCAGAUAUCAGGAGGAACACCAAUGGCGAAGGCAGCUCGCUGGGACGGUACUGACGCUGAGACGCGAAAGCGUGGGGAGCCAACAGG
rnacentral:rRNA from 1 species